CCACACCCUCGAGGCGCUGGCAAGCAGACAGUAAUGUAUCCUGCUAUUGUUCCACUUCCUGGCUCUGAUAUGUUGCAACCGGCUGCUGGAGUUGUGCCUACUCCUGAGACAGCCGCAACAAUACCCAGUAACGACGCCUUGCACCU
rnacentral:lncRNA from 1 species